rnacentral:rRNA from 1 species
UACGUAGGGUGCGAGCGUUGUCCGGAAUUAUUGGGCGUAAAGAGCUCGUAGGCGGUCUGUCGCGUCGAUCGUGAAAACUUGGGGCUUAACCCUGAGCUUGCGGUCGAUACGGGCAUGACUGGAGUUCGGCAGGGGAGACUGGAAUUCCUGGUGUAGCGGUGAAAUGCGCAGAUAUCAGGAGGAACACCGGUGGCGAAGGCGGUUCUCUGGGAAUAUCCUGACGCUGAGGAGCGAAAGUGUGGGGAGCGAACAGG